GCUGGGAUAGCUCAGUUGGUAGAGCAGCUGAUUCGUAAUCAGCAGGUCGUCGGUUCGAGUCCGAUUCUCAGCU
rnacentral:tRNA from 1 species